rnacentral:rRNA from 1 species
AAGGGCGAGCGAAGCCGAGAGGCGGAGCAAAUACCCNGAAAACCGAAUCGUAGUCCGGAUUGCAGUCUGCAACUCGACUGCAUGAAGUCGGAAUCGCUAGUAAUCGCGGAUCAGCAUGCCGCGGUGAAUACGUUCCCGGGUCUUGUACACACCGCCCGUCAAACAAUGGGAGUGGUGUUUACCAGAAGUCGUUAGCCUAACCGCAAGGAGGGCGGCGACCACGGUGAGCACCGUGACUAAUGUUAAGUCGUAACAAGGUAGC